rnacentral:rRNA from 1 species
AAAAGUCGUAACAAGGUUUCCGUAGGUGAACCUGCGGAAGGAUCAUUACCGCUUUCUCGCGUUUCGCGCGCGUAGAAAACCACUGUGAAUUGUCUCGAUCGUGCGGGGUGGCGCUGAUGCGUCUCAAAUGGGUCUCGACCCGGCCCCGCGCGUGUUCAUAUAUUUUUUACUUAUAAACCACAAUGAAAAGUCCAGUCAAUCUUCGCUUAGCGUAGAAUGUUUAACACUGUGACAACUUCUAACGGUGAAUCUCUUGGUUCUUGCCUCGAUGACGAACGUAGCCAGUUGCGAUAAGUAGUGUGAAUUGCAGAAUUCAGUGAAUCAUCGAAUUUUUGAACGCAAAUUGCGCUCUCUGGAUACCCGGGGAGCAUGUCUGUCUGAGUGUCGUUUAACUAACUACACACUUCGGUGUGGCGUGGGAGUUCGGGUUGGUCUCACGACGAACCCGUCUCUCGAAGUUUCUGAACCCGACCGCUGCGUCAGGAAGGCUCAAAUUUAUUUGCCCUUUGCUGUCGUCAGUUACAAAGUUGGUUCUUUGAAGGACGAUUCGACUCGUCGUUCAUUUUUGAAUUUUGACCUCAGAUCAGGCAAGACUACCCGCUGAAUUUAAGCAUAUCA